CGCAGGGUGGAGCAGUCUGGUAGCUCGUCAGGCUCAUAACCUGAAGGUCCCUGGUUCAAAUCCAGGCCCUGCACCCA
rnacentral:tRNA from 1 species